AGUGAACGCUGGCGGUAGGCCUAACACAUGCAAGUCGAACGGCAGCACAGGAGAGCUUGCUCUCUGGGUGGCGAGUGGCGGACGGGUGAGGAAUACAUCGGAAUCUACUCUGUCGUGGGGGAUAACGUAGGGAAACUUACGCUAAUACCGCAUACGACCUACGGGUGAAAGCAGGGGACCUUCGGGCCUUGCGCGAUUGAAUGAGCCGAUGUCGGAUUAGCUAGUUGGCGGGGUAAAGGCCCACCAAGGCGACGAUCCGUAGCUGGUCUGGGAGGAUGGUCAGCCCCACUGGAACUGAGACACGGUCCAGACUCCUACGGGAGGCAGCAGUGGGGAAUAUUGGACAAUGGGCGCAAGCCUGAUCCAGCCAUACCGCGUGGGUGAAGAAGGCCUUCGGGUUGUAAAGCCCUUUUGUUGGGAAAGAAAUCCAGCUGGCUAAUACCCGGUUGGGAUGACGGUACCCAAAGAAUAAGCACCGGCUAACUUCGUGCCAGCAGCCGCCGUAA
rnacentral:rRNA from 1 species